AAUUUCUAGGUAAUACAAUUUUGCUGAGCAAGAAUUAAAUUUUAAUAAAGCAGAGAGCCUCAAAGAAACACAUAACUACUUUGGGCAUUGGUAUCUUUCUUAAAGGGAAAGUGCAUCUAGUUGGAUACGUUAAACAGGUCGUCAAACCCGUUCCCAUUUACAACGAGGAAAUACAAUCUUCAUUGUAAAAAAGAGUAUGCAAUUACCAAAAAGAUUCAGUGGUUGUUAUUAAAAUACUUCAACUAUCGACAAUGGACAUAAUUGAUGAAGACUUAUAUUAUAUUGUGAUAGAUAUAGAUUUCCAAAAAAUCAAUGAAAUAAAGACUAAAAAUCUUCGAAUUAAAUGAUUAUCCCAAUUUCUACCUGGCAUAGAAUCUGCGGCAAUCAUUUCUCAAUUAGUGAUUGUAAACAAUGCUCAGUAAAUUAGUAAACACGGUCAGAGGCUGUCUCAAAACAUAAUCCAAACCACUUGUCUGGGAUAGAGAAGUAAAAUAAAUUUUAGUUAUUUACGGCAACAUCGGUACUACUCUGAGCACGACUAGGAAAUCGCAUCUAAGAGAAAACUUUGUUUCUCCAACGAUGGGUUAGCAGAAAAUGAACAGACGAAUAAAGGGUUUCGAGGACUUACAGUUGAUGAUUUUGAUUAGCCCAGAAAAGCCUUACAUACUGAUUAAUGUCUAAUUCACACACACUUAUUUCAUAGAGUGGAUUAUACUUAUUAUUGUUUUCGAAAUUGAAAUAAUAUAUUAUGUACCACAUACAAGGAACUAAGAAGUGGAGCCAGUGUAUUGACAAUUUUUCAGACGUUGACUUUCUUGAAGAUAAUUCUACAGACUCAGAUGAAGCCAUAUAAUAUUGGAGUGAAUUGUGCAACUCAAAGGUAAUACAAUUUUGCUGAGCAAGAAUUAAAUUUUAAUAAAGCAGAGAGCCUCAAAGAAACACAUAACUACUUUGGGCAUUGGUAUCUUUCUUAAAGGGAAAGUGCAUCUAGUUGGAUACGUUAAACAGGUCGUCAAACCCGUUCCCAUUUACAACGAGGAAAUACAAUCUUCAUUGUAAAAAAGAGUAUGCAAUUACCAAAAAGAUUCAGUGGUUGUUAUUAAAAUACUUCAACUAUCGACAAUGGACAUAAUUGAUGAAGACUUAUAUUAUAUUGUGAUAGGUACCUAUUUCCUUUAAUUUGUGUACUUAUUUUUCCUAUGUUUCCCCCACCACCCAUCCGAAAGUAAUUAGUUACUUUAUUUAACCAAAAAAAAACUAUACCUAUACACUGUGCAGUCAUGUUU